AGCAGCAGUGAGGAAUAUUGGACAAUGGCCGGAAGCUUAUCCCAGCCAUGCCGCGUCCAGAAUGACGGCCCUAUGGGUUGUAAACUGCUUUUAUACGGGAAGAAAUGCGCCCACGUGUGGGCGUCUGACGGUACCGUAAGAAUAAGGACCGGCUAACUCCGUGCCAGCAGCCGCGGUAAUACGGAGGGUCCGAGCGUUAUCCGGAAUCAUUGGGUUUAAAGGGUCCGUAGGCGGGCCUGUAAGUCAGGGGUGAAAGUUUGUGGCUCAACCAUAAAAUUGCCUUUGAUACUGCAGGUCUUGAGUCAUGGUGGGGUCGCCGGAACAUGUGGUGUAGCGGUGAAAUGCAUAGAUAUCACAUAGAACACCGAUCGCGAAGGCAGGUGGCCAACCAUGUACUGACGCUGAUGGACGAAAGCGUGGGUAGCGAACGGGAUUAGAUACCCCGGUAGUCCACGCCGUAAACGAUGGAUACUAGCUGUGGGGACUUCGGUCUCCGUGGCCAAGCGAAAGUGAUAAGUAUCCCACCUGGGGAGUACGUUCGCAAGAAUGAAACUCAAAGGAAUUGACGGGGGCCCGCACAAGCGGUGGAGCAUGUGGUUUAAUUCGAUGAUACGCGAGGAACCUUACCAGGGCUUAAAUGCAGGCUGCAUGGGGUAGAGAUACCCCUUUCUUCGGACCGCCUGCAAGGUGCUGCAUGGUUGUCGUCAGCUCGUGCCG
rnacentral:rRNA from 1 species